rnacentral:rRNA from 1 species
AACGAACGCUGGCGGCAUGCCUAACACAUGCAAGUCGAACGAUUGCCUUCGGGUGAUAGUGGCGCACGGGUGCGUAACGCGUGGGGAUCUGCCCUUAGGUUCGGAAUAACAGCUGGAAACGGCUGCUAAUACCGGAUGAUAUCGCGAGAUCAAAGAUUUAUCGCCUGAGGAUGAGCCCGCGUUGGAUUAGGUAGUUGGUGGGGUAAAGGCCUACCAAGCCGACGAUCCAUAGCUGGUCUGAGAGGAUGAUCAGCCACACUGGGACUGAGACACGGCCCAGACUCCUACGGGAGGCAGCAGUGGGGAAUAUUGGACAAUGGGCGCAAGCCUGAUCCAGCAAUGCCGCGUGAGUGAUGAAGGCCCUAGGGUUGUAAAGCUCUUUUACCCGGGAAGAUAAUGACUGUACCGGGAGAAUAAGCCCCGGCUAACUCCGU